AGGUGAACCUGCGAAGGAUCAUUA
rnacentral:rRNA from 1 species